GAUGAACACUGGCGGCGUGCCUAAUACAUGCAAGUCGAGCGAACAGAUGAGAAGCUUGCUUCUCUGAUGUUAGCGGCGGACGGGUGAGUAACACGUGGGUAACCUACCUAUAAGACUGGGAUAACUCCGGGAAACCGGGGCUAAUACCGGAUAAUAUUUUGAACCGCAUGGUUCGAUAGUGAAAGACGGUUUCGGCUGUCACUUAUAGAUGGACCCGCGCCGUAUUAGCUGGUUGGUAAGGUAACGGCUUAACAAGGCGACGAUACGUAGCCGACCUGAGAGGGUGAUCGGCCACACUGGAACUGAGACACGGUCCAGACUCCUACGGGAGGCAGCAGUAGGGAAUCUUCCGCAAUGGGCGAAAGCCUGACGGAGCAACGCCGCGUGAGUGAUGAAGGUCUUCGGAUCGUAAAACUCUGUUGUUAGGGAAGAACAAAUUUGUUAGUAACUGAACAAGUCUUGACGGUACCUAACCAGAAAGCCACGGCUAACUACGUGCCAGCCGCCGCGGUAA
rnacentral:rRNA from 1 species